CAUGCAAGUCGAGCGGACAGAAGGGAGCUUGCUCCCGGAUGUUAGCGGCGGACGGGUGAGUAACACGUGGGUAACCUGCCUGUAAGACUGGGAUAACUCCGGGAAACCGGAGCUAAUACCGGAUAGUUCCUUGAACCGCAUGGUUCAAGGAUGAAAGACGGUUUCGGCUGUCACUUACAGAUGGACCCGCGGCGCAUUAGCUAGUUGGUGAGGUAACGGCUCACCAAGGCGACGAUGCGUAGCCGACCUGAGAGGGUGAUCGGCCACACUGGGACUGAGACACGGCCCAGACUCCUACGGGAGGCAGCAGUAGGGAAUCUUCCGCAAUGGACGAAAGUCUGACGGAGCAACGCCGCGUGAGUGAUGAAGGUUUUCGGAUCGUAAAGCUCUGUUGUUAGGGAAGAACAAGUGCAAGAGUAACUGCUUGCACCUUGACGGUACCUAACCAGAAAGCCACGGCUAACUACGUGCCAGCAGCCGCGGUAAUACGUAGGUGGCAAGCGUUGUCCGGAAUUAUUGGGCGUAAAGGGCUCGCAGGCGGUUUCUUAAGUCUGAUGUGAAAGCCCCCGGCUCAACCGGGGAGGGUCAUUGGAAACUGGGAAACUUGAGUGCAGAAGAGGAGAGUGGAAUUCCACGUGUAGCGGUGAAAUGCGUAGAGAUGUGGAGGAACACCAGUGGCGAAGGCGACUCUCUGGUCUGUAACUGACGCUGAGGAGCGAAAGCGUGGGGAGCGAACAGGAUUAGAUACCCUGGUAGUCCACGCCGUAAACGAUGAGUGCUAAGUGUUAGGGGGUUUCCGCCCCUUAGUGCUGCAGCUAACGCAUUAAGCACUCCGCCUGGGGAGUACGGUCGCAAGACUGAAACUCAA
rnacentral:rRNA from 1 species